UACGUAGGACGCAAGCGUUAUCCGGAGUUACUGGGCGUAAAGCGCGGGCAGGCGGCUCGAAACGUCUGAUGUGAAAUCUCCUCGCUCAACGGGGAGAGGCCAUUGGAAACGGUCGAGCUGGAGGGCAGUAGAGGUAGGCGGAAUUCCGGGUGGAGUGGUGAAAUGCGCAGAUAUCAGGAGGAACACCGGUGGCGAAGGCGGGUCUCUGGGCAGUAACUGACGCUGAGGAGCGAAAGCGUGGGGAGCGAACAGG
rnacentral:rRNA from 1 species